GGGGGCGUACUGGUAUCGACCGGGUGUGUUGUGUUGAUGGUGGCGUGUCGAGGAUGUCAGUUGGCCUCGUUAAUCAUCUGGCGCAACUUUAGGUGCCGAACCGCACUUUGCUCUGGCUGCGUAAUUAAGCCGUAGCCCCGGUGCUGGGAGCUUGUUCACGGUUCUCAACCACUGGUCACCUUAGUGAACUCGCCGUGGCGGAGUGUUCGCCGCUGUCACGGCUAAAUACAGGGCGGGCUGUUUUCGACGGGACCCUGCCGCUCGGGGCACGUUGAACGAGGAUUCCGAGAGUUGUCUGCUGGCAACAGCGGAGGUUCACGGCUCUCAAAAAAGAGAUGGCUACACACGUAGAGGCUAUCAUCAAGCCGCGACGGGACGCGGGUUCGAUUCCCGCCGCCUCCA
rnacentral:tmRNA from 1 species